UACGUAGGGACCAAGCGUUGUCCGGAAUCAUUGGGCGUAAAGAGCGUGUAGGCGGCCAGGUAGGUCCGUUGUGAAAACUGGAGGCUUAACCUCCAGCUGUCGAUGGAAACCAUCUGGCUAGAGUCCGGAAGAGGAGAGUGGAAUUCCUGGUGUAGCGGUGAAAUGCGCAGAUAUCAGGAAGAACACCCGUGGCGAAGGCGGCUCUCUGGGACGGUACUGACGCUGAGACGCGAAAGCGUGGGGAGCGAACAGG
rnacentral:rRNA from 1 species